AGGAUUAUAGUUAAUUAUAACAUUUAGUUUGCAUCUAAAAAGUAUUGAUUUAUUCAAUUUAUCUU
rnacentral:tRNA from 1 species